GAUGAACGCUGGCGGCGUGCCUAAUACAUGCAAGUCGAACGCGCAGCGAGAGGUGCUUGCACCUUUCAAGCGAGUGGCGAACGGGUGAGUAACACGUGGAUAACCUGCCUCAAGGCUGGGGAUAACAUUUGGAAACAGAUGCUAAUACCGAAUAAAACUUAGUAUCGCAUGAUAUAAAGUUAAAAGGCGCUACGGCGUCACCUAGAGAUGGAUCCGCGGUGCAUUAGUUAGUUGGUGGGGUAAAGGCUUACCAAGACAAUGAUGCAUAGCCGAGUUGAGAGACUGAUCGGCCACAUUGGGACUGAGACACGGCCCAAACUCCUACGGGAGGCUGCAGUAGGGAAUCUUCCACAAUGGGCGCAAGCCUGAUGGAGCAACGCCGCGUGUGUGAUGAAGGCUUUCGGGUCGUAAAGCACUGUUGUAUGGGAAGAAAUGCUAAAAUAGGGAAUGGUUUUAGUUUGACGGUACCAUACCAGAAAGGGACGGCUAAAUACGUGCCAGCCGCCGCAGUAAGAC
rnacentral:rRNA from 1 species